rnacentral:rRNA from 1 species
UAGUAAUCGCGUAUCAGCCAUGACGCGGUGAAUAUGUUCCUGAUCCUUGUACACACCGCCCGUCAAGCCACGGAAGCGGGGAGCGCUCGAAGUCGUUGGUCCAACCUUCGGGAGGACGGCGCCGAAAGCGAGCUCCGUGACUGGGACUAAGUCGUAACAAGGUAGCCGUAGGGGAACCUGCGGCUGGAUCACCUCCUUUCUAA